rnacentral:lncRNA from 1 species
AUCAACUGAGUCAAACACUUUUACUUACUGUGAGCAAGCAAUUCAUAAUAUUAUGAUCAUGAACAAACAAACACCAUACAAUAAGAGCUAGCGAAGCCCAAAUGUAAUAAAACUUACGAGUUAAUUUAUCCUACAGUAAGUCCAAACUCAUGGAAAUUAAAAAAGAACAAAAAUGAGAAAUUAAAAAAAUCCCAAACACAAAAAAAAUAAGGAAAAGAAAACCCAACAACUAUCAGACUCAUAAGCCAAAUAACCAAUCUAGUCGAGCCAACUAAAACUAAAUUAAACCCCCAAACAAAGCACACAUCUUACACAUCAAUAACUAUCUGCUCAUCUUAUUUUUCAGUUCAUAUUGUGAUUCACAAUGUGGAAAGUGAAAAAGAAAAAGGUUUGCAC